UAUCACAUUCAUUUGGUGGGCU
rnacentral:miRNA from 1 species